CUGCUAUCGGAUUGAUACUAAGCCAUGCGAGUCAUUGUAGCAAUACAAGGCAGACGGCUCAGUAACGCGUAGUCAACCUACCCUAUGGACGGGAAUAACCUCGGGAAACUGAGUAUAAUGCCCGAUAGAACAUUAUGCCUGGAAUGGUUUAUGUUCCAAAUGAUUUAUCGCCAUAGGAUGGGACUGCGGCCUAUCAGUUUGUUGGUGAGGUAAUGGCCCACCAAGACUAUUACAGGUACGGGCUCUGAGAGGAGUAGCCCGGAGAUGGGUACUGAGACACGGACCCAGGCCCUAUGGGGCGCAGCAGGCGAGAAAACUUUGCAAUGUGCGAAAGCACGACAAGGUUAAUCCGAGUGGUUUCUGCUAAAGGAACCUUUUGUUAGUCCUAAAAACACUAACGAAUAAGGGGUGGGCAAGUUCUGGUGUCAGCCGCCGCGGUAAAACCAGCACCUCAAGUGGUCAGGAUGAUUAUUGGGCCUAAAGCAUCCGUAGCCUGCCCUGUAAGUUUUCGGUUAAAUCUGUAUGCUCAACAUACAGGCCGCCGGGAAUACUGCAGGGCUAGGGAGUGGGAGAGGUAGACGGUACUCGGGAGGAAGUGGUAAAAUGCUUUGAUCUCUCGAUGACCACCUGUGGCGAAGGCGGUCUACCAGAACACGUCCGACGGUGAGGGAUGAAAGCUGGGGGAGCAAACCGGAUUAGAUACCCGGGUAGUCCCAGCCGUAAACUAUGCAAACUCAGUGAUGCAUUGGCUUGUGGCCAAUGCAGUGUUGCAGGGAAGCCGUUAAGUUUGCCGCCUGGGAAGUACGUACGCAAGUAUGAAACUUAAAGGAUUGGCGGGGAGCACACAAGGGUGAAGCCUGCGGU
rnacentral:rRNA from 1 species